rnacentral:rRNA from 1 species
GAUGAACGCUGGCGGCGUGCCUAAUACAUGCAAGUCGAGCGAACUGAUUAGAAGCUUGCUUCUAUGACGUUAGCGGCGGACGGGUGAGUAACACGUGGGCAACCUGCCUGUAAGACUGGGAUAACUUCGGGAAACCGAAGCUAAUACCGGAUAGGAUCUUCUCCUUCAUGGGAGAUGAUUGAAAGAUGGUUUCGGCUAUCACUUACAGAUGGGCCUGCGGUGCAUUAGCUAGUUGGAGAGGUAACGGCUCACCAAGGCAACGAUGCAGAGCCGACCUGAGAGGGUGAUCGGCCACACUGGGACUGAGACACGGCCCAGACUCCUACGGGAGGCAGCAGUAGGGAAUCUUCCGCAAUGGACGAAAGUCUGACGGAGCAACGCCGCGUGAGUGAUGAAGGCUUUCGGGUCGUAAAACUCUGUUGUUAGGGAAGAACAAGUACGAGAGUAACUGCUCGUACCUUGACGGUACCUAACCAGAAAGCCACGGCUAACUACGUGCCAGCAGCCGCCGUAAUAC